AGGUGCAAAGAGUCCAAAGAGGCACGCGGAAGGCCUGCUGCUGGUGGGGACGCCAAUGCCUGCAGAGGGACUGCGGGAAGCCAGGGCCACUGAGCUGCUGCUCCCUUUCACCCUGCUGUACCUGCUGGAAUGGGAUGGCACUCUUUUCUUUACUGCCAUGGGACAGGGAGCUCCAGAAUUUCCGAGGACUGCAGGGAGAACCUGUCUACAAGACAGCCAAGCGUAAGAGAAGCCAGAGUUGAAGUUAUCUUGGAACCAGACAGUGGAGGAUUGGUGAAUUUGGUCACCAGUGGAUGCUGGGCUUGCCACUAGGGGCCAAGGUGUGGAUCAAGGAGCUUCCAGCCAGAACCGCUAACAACUUAAGGAGAAAACACGUACUGGGGUGAGAUGAUCUGAAGGGUGUUUCCAACGAGAAUGACACAAAUACCAAGGACUGGAGAAGCCCUUGGAACAAUUGAUAAAGCUUCCCACAUUUUUUUUUUUUUGAGAUGGAGUCUCACUCUGUCACCCAGGCUGAAGUGCAAUCGCAUGAUCUCGGCUCACUGCAACCUCUGCCUCCUGGAAUCAAGGAAUUCUCCUGCCUCAGCCUCCUGAGUAGCUGGGAUUACAGGCUCCCACCACACCUGGCUAAUUUUGUAUUUUUAGUAGAGACAGGGUUUCACCAUGUUGGUCAGGCUGGUCUCGAACUCCUGACCUCAGGUGAUCCACCUGCUUCCGCCUCCCAAAGUGCUGGGAUUACAGGCAUGAGCCACUGCGCCUGGUCAAUUUCCCACAUUUUCUUAAGAUUAUGUUUGGCCUACAAAAGCUCAACCCAAAGCUAUCUUAUCAAGCUGGUAUGGAAUCUUUAUUUCAGCAAGGUGAUAUCCCCAAUAUGUAAUUCAACCUUUUGUUUAUUCCAAUAAUUAGUACGCAGGUGCUAUUUUAACUAAAAUUGUGUUAAAUUUGAGAUAAAAUCAAUGUAUUUUUGUAAUUUUGUUUUCACCCUGAAAAUUGG